CCGGGCAUGCAUCAUGAUACAACCGGGCAUCCAGCACAAACCUUCGGGCAUGUAUCAUGACACAACCGGGCAUCCGGCACUCCCUAGCCAGGCAUCCCGACACUCCCGGGGCAUCGUCGGCUCACACCUCCGACGGCAUUCUCAUUUAUCAUAGUUUAUAUUCACAAUUGUGGCUCAAUUUCAACAUGGCAUAUAAUGUGAUGGCAAACAAGAUCCUUUUCAUCAUUUGGUUUAUAUAUGCAUUUCCAAUCAUCAACAUACAUGCAGCAGGAUCCAAUCACUUAUGUCAAUACAAUCCAUGGGGUCCAUGCAACAUAGAAUAAUCCAUAGAUCACGACCUUUUUGAGAUUUACCAAUUUCCAGCUUGCACAAUUUCGGAAAACAUGUAAAUUAAAUAUCCAUAUGAUCUUCGAAAAUCAUGAAAUCAGAACAUGUGAUAGUCAAGACAAUAAGGUAACAAUUUCCUGAAGAUCACAUGCCCAAAAGAGUUUCACACAAGAAGGUAUAAUUCACACAAAUACAGCAUGUAAUUUCGGAUAGAAACAGAUUGCGCAGUUUUUGAAAUAUUUCGAUUAAAAUACCCGAAUGACCACAAAAAAUUAUGAAAGUUUACCAGGUUGUAUUCAAGACCUUAAGGUAGAUUUUUCAUGCAGACAUCUAGGCCAGAUUCGUUCUAGAUAAUUUUCUAUAGACGCUCGAAGUUACUGUUUCUAGUACCGAACAGUCCAGUUUGGCUAUCUCCGAAAUAUUGAGGUUUCGCCUACUUAUCUUUCUU
rnacentral:lncRNA from 1 species